AGAGUUUGAUCCUGGCUCAGGAUGAACGCUGGCGGCGUGCCUAAUACAUGCAAGUCGAACGAGUUCUCGUUGAUGAUCGGUGCUUGCACCGAGAUUCAACAUAGAACGAGUGGCGGACGGGUGAGUAACACGUGGGUAACCUGCCCUUAAGUGGGGGAUAACAUUUGGAAACAGAUGCUAAUACCGCAUAGAUCCAAGAACCGCAUGGUUCUUGGCUGAAAGAUGGCGUAAGCUAUCGCUUUUGGAUGGACCCGCGGCGUAUUAGCUAGUUGGUGAGGUAAUGGCUCACCAAGGCGAUGAUACGUAGCCGAACUGAGAGGUUGAUCGGCCACAUUGGGACUGAGACACGGCCCAAACUCCUACGGGAGGCAGCAGUAGGGAAUCUUCCACAAUGGACGCAAGUCUGAUGGAGCAACGCCGCGUGAGUGAAGAAGGCUUUCGGGUCGUAAAACUCUGUUGUUGGAGAAGAAUGGUCGGCAGAGUAACUGUUGUCGGCGUGACGGUAUCCAACCAGAAAGCCACGGCUAACUACGUGCCAGCAGCCGCGGUAAUACGUAGGGGGCAAGCGUUAUCCGGAUUUACUGGGUGUAAAGGGAGCGUAGGUGGUAUGG
rnacentral:rRNA from 1 species